CACUGUGCCUCCUCCCUUGUCAUUCGCCACCAUCAAUCCAUCUUUAAAUAUAACCCCUCAUCUUCCCUUUCCUCCCCAGCUGUCUUGUGUAUUUCUGCGUCACACAGCACGCACGAGACACCAGCUCCUCUCGCUCUACUGCUCAACUCAGGCGCGAUGAUUUCUUUGCCCUUCAUGUGGAUUUGGCAAAGGGUUUCUUACAGAGUUUAUUGGCAUUCUGUCCACCUCCUAGUUCCUACAUCAAACGGGGAAGGAAGGGAAAAAAAAAAAAAAAAAACGAUAGAGAAAGACCUGUUUUUCUACGGGGGUAAAAGGAAAACGAGAAAUUCUCCAUGUUUGCGCUUGCUUUGAAGGGAGGUGGGCAUACUGCCAAGUGAGCUCUGUGGGGUUCUCUUUGUGAAAACCCUCGUGAUAUGUAUAUCUCGUCGUGUUAAUCUGGUGUUUACUAGGGUUUCUGCCGGUACUUUAUGCUCCGAGGGAAUCAGAGAUGGGAGGGAUGAAAAGAGCUCCGAGGAGAUGAAACGUCAAGAAGGAUCACCACUCAAGUACCCAGAAAAGCAGAAACUGUUCUUUCUACUAGUGCGAAGUCCCGAAGGUUUUGAGCUCACCGAGUUUACACCAUCAAUGACGGAUGACCAUCUCUUUCAGCUGCUGGUUUGAGCAGAAUCUGGAAGGUCACUCCUAAUCUCUCUCUCUCUCUCUCUCUCUCUCUCUGGUUUUCUGAGAUGAUUACUAGGAGUAGGAUUAUGAUUGAGGGCUGACUAUCGAACACUGAGGUGGAAAGUGAAAACUUCCCUCUUUGCCACA